UACUCUGUAGAAUCCCCCAGAGCACAGCUCUUCACCAUGGACUGGACAUGGGGAAUCCUCUUCUUGGUUGCAGCUGUGAAUGGUGUCCAUGCCCAGCUGCAGUUGGUGCAGUCUGGGGCAGAGGUGAGGAAACCUGGAACCUCAGUGAAGGUCUCCUGCAAGGCUUCAGGCUACAGUUUCACUAGUUACUGGAUGGAAUGGGUGCGACAGAGCCCUUCACGGGAACUCGAGUGGAUUGGAGAGAUCGACCCUAGUGAUGGUGAAACUAAUUAUGCUCAGAAGUUCCAGGGAAAGGUCACCCUCACUGCAGACACCUCCUCCAGCACAGCCUACAUGGAGCUGAGCAGUCUGAAGUCUGAGGACACAGCCGUGUAUUACUGUGCGAGGCACAGUGUGGUGACCACAUCCUGAGUCUGUCAGAAACCCUGAGGGAGGAGCAGCUGCAGUGCCGGUGAAAUGACUAAGAUGAUGAGACUGAGGAGUUACUUAGAAAACUGAUGUAUUAAUUGAGGAUAGGAACCAUAGAAAUAAAUAUGCACCCUAAUUGUGUGGGAUAGUUUUGUGGGUGUCCACAACAGUCAACCUUGGUGCAAAAUACAGGGAGUAAAAAAAAAAAAUCUCCCUCCUAAUAAGGACACAAACUACUCCAAGAAGGUAUUUGUGAUGAGACAUGUUUCAAAACAAUUGGAGAAAGAUCCAGGAGCCAAGUUUUUCCAGGAGCAAAGUUUUUCAAUCAUAUGACAACAUUCUGUAUAUUUUCUAAAACAUGGCCAAAAUGUUUCUGCCAUUUCUAUUUAGCAAAAUUUACUUAUACGGCGGGUUUAUGCUCACAGUAAAAUCAUUUAGAAAGACCAAGAUUUUCCAUGAAUCUCUGCCCCACCAAGUUGUGCACAGCCUGCCCCUCUACUACCGCCCCGUCCUGCAGUCCUUCUGUGUUCCAGCUAUUGGAGCCACAGUGAGACACCAUCCACUCCCACAGCCGGGUUCUUACGUGGGUUGACUCCUGGUGCUGUGCAUUCUAUGGGUUUGGAUAAAUGUUUAGUUAUAUGACUCCACCAUGCUUUUCAUGGGUGUUCAAAUUAUUUGGUGAUUACCAGGAGCAGGCCUGUCUCACCCUGGGGUUGUAGGGGUCCAUUCAGACAGGCACAGGGUGGAGGAUCUGACAAAGCACCUGUGAGGAGUCCAGUUGGCCAUGCUGGCUGUUGAGCUCUUCCUUGACAAGUCCUGUGGGUUGUCUACUUCACAAGUGGCUAAUGAUGAUGGUUCAAAAUGUCUUCAUCCUUCCAAGCCUUCUCCUGAUGGCCCAAUGGUACCUACAAGCAAUCUUCACCCACUUGGGAGAGCUGAAAGUGUGAAGCUGAUAGAAGCAUCCUCAUGGGGUAUAAGAGGAUACCAUGUUCAGAUCAGCUGUGUGACCACCUCAGAUUCUUUUGCUCCAGCGUUAUCUUCAUCUCCGUAAGAAAUACCCAAAGAGCCUUCACAGUGAAAGAACCAUUUCCUACUCCCAUUCUCAGGGAAUAAGUUUCUCACUGCAGACAAAUCUCAGGAUUUUAUUUGUUCAUUGUUUGCUUUUUGGCAUUUGUAUCACAUGGUUGUAUAAUUACACAUUUUCCUACAAGCCAUAUUGAAAAUUUCAU